rnacentral:rRNA from 1 species
UACGUAGGGGGCGAGCGUUGUCCGGAUUCAUUGGGCGUAAAGAGCUCGUAGGCGGCUUGCUAAGUCGGGUGUGAAACCCCCAGGCUCAACCUGGGGUCGCCAUCUGAUACUGGUAUGGCUGGAGUCCGGUAGGGGACCAUGGAAUUCCUGGUGUAGCGGUGAAAUGCGCAGAUAUCAGGAGGAACACCGAUGGCGAAGGCAGUGGUCUGGGCCGGUACUGACGCUGAGGAGCGAAAGCGUGGGGAGCGAACAGG